GGUUUCCACAUGUGGUUAAUAAUUUAAAGCGUUUGAGGCUGAUAGAUUUUUCACUUGGUGAUUUGGAUGAUCUACAUGGUGUUCUUUGUUUGCUUCGAAACUCACCGAAUCUAGUAGAAUUGCGUAUGACGCAUACUGAGACGGCAAAAUCAUCUUAUUACUUACCCAUGCAUAUGCAACCUGGUGUGGAACCAGCUUCAAAUCAUUUGGAAUCACCAGACUGCCUGGACCAAACAUUGAAUCGGUUACGAACCAUUGACUUAUCACCUUUCCAAGGAUCAAAAACACAAUUGCUUUAUGUAAAGAUGUUACUUGCUCAUUCCCCAUCUCUUGAGAAGUUUACCAUCCAAGCAGAUGGAGCUUUGAAUGGUAAUAAAAGGUUUGACAUUGCUAAGGAUCUUAUGCGGUUCCCUAGAGCCUCGGCGAAAGCAGAAAUGAUCUACUUGGACCCCAAGACAUGAUGCUUGUGGUUAUACAUGUAAGCAAGAUGGUUGGAGGAAAGCGAAAGUGUUAUAUUUGUGUACCCAGGUUCACAAGAAGGUUUAAAUUUGGUUGUCUUCGUAUCAUGAGCUUACGUGAAACUAUUAAUUAUAUUGUUCUUCUUGUGUGAAACUAUGAAUUUUAUUGCGUUGGACAUAUUCCGUUCA